UUUGUACCCCCUCCGUCCCAAAAUUCUUGUCUUAAUAUCUAGUUACAUUUUAGUGUUAGAUACAUCCGUAUCUAAACAAAUGUAAGACAAGAAUUUUGGGACAGAGGGAAUACUAC
rfam:Triticum aestivum genome assembly, contig: Triticum_aestivum_CS42_TGACv1_scaffold_138702_2BL